rnacentral:rRNA from 1 species
AAAUGAAUAGACGGGGACCCGCACAAGCAGCGGAGCAUGUGGUUUAAUUCGAUGCAACGCGAAGAACCUUACCAGGGCUUGACAUCCCCCGGACAGGAUUAGAGACAAUCCCUUUUCUUCGGAAACCGGGGAGACAGGUGGUGCAUGGUUGUCGUCAGCUCGUGUCGUGAGAUGUUGGGUUAAGUCCCGCAACGAGCGCAACCCCUGCCUUUAGUUGCAAACAGUUAGGCUGAGCACUCUAAAGGGACUGCCGAUGACAAAUCGGAGGAAGGUGGGGAUGACGUCAAAUCAUCAUGCCCUAUAUGUCCUGGGCUACACACGUGCUACAAUGGUCGGUACAACGGGUAGCUACUCAGCGAUGGGAAGCCAAUCCCUUAAAGCCGAUCCCAGUUCGGAUUGCAGGCUGCAACUCGCCUGCAUGAAGUCGGAGUUGCUAGUAAUCGCGAAUCAGCAUGUCGCGGUGAAUGCGUUCCCGGGUCUUGUACACACCGCCCGU